AACGAACGCUGGCGGCAUGCCUAACACAUGCAAGUCGAACGGACCCUUCGGGGUUAGUGGCGCACGGGUGCGUAACGCGUGGGAAUCUGCCCUUGGGUACGGAAUAACUCACCGAAAGGUGUGCUAAUACCGUAUGAUGUCGUAAGACCAAAGAUUUAUCGCCUGAGGAUGAGCCCGCGUUGGAUUAGCUAGUUGGAGAGGUAAAGGCUCACCAAGGCGACGAUCCAUAGCUGGUCUGAGAGGAUGAUCAGCCACACUGGGACUGAGACACGGCCCAGACUCCUACGGGAGGCAGCAGUGGGGAAUAUUGGACAAUGGGCGCAAGCCUGAUCCAGCAAUGCCGCGUGAGUGAUGAAGGCCUUAGGGUUGUAAAGCUCUUUUACCCGGGAAGAUAAUGACUGUACCGGGAGAAUAAGCCCCGGCUAACUCCGUGCCAGCCGCCGCGGUAAGAC
rnacentral:rRNA from 1 species